rnacentral:rRNA from 1 species
GAGGAAGGUGGGGAUGACGUCAAGUCAUCAUGGCCCUUACGAGUAGGGCUACACACGUGCUACAAUGGCGCAUACAAAGAGAAGCGACCUCGCGAGAGCAAGCGGACCUCAUAAAGUGCGUCGUAGUCCGGAUUGGAGUCUGCAACUCGACUCCAUGAAGUCGGAAUCGCUAGUAAUCGUAGAUCAGAAUGCUACGGUGAAUACGUUCCCGGGCCUUGUACACACCGCCCGUCACACCAUGGGAGUGGGUUGCAAAAGAAGUAGGUAGCUUAACCUUCGGGAGGGCGCUUACCACUUUGUGAUUCAUGACUGGGGUGAAGUCGUAACAAGGUAACCGUAGGGGAACCUGCGGUUGGAUCACCUCCUU